rnacentral:lncRNA from 1 species
ACCUGUUUUUGCUUUGUCGUUAUGGGGUAUUGUGUGUAGAUGGAUGAGGGGAAAAAACGAUUUAAUACAUUUUAGAAUAAGGCUGUAAGUAACAAAAUGUGUAAAAAGUCAAGAGGUCUGAAUACUUUCCGAAGACACUGUAUGCAUCCUAAACAUGAACGAUGGGCCCACCGCAAAAGUGUGUAUCAUCAGAAAGAUGCUGGAGCACAAGGGCCAUGAGAAUUCGCACUCAGAGAAUGUGACAAACCGCAUCCACCCAGACCUGGUCGCAUAUAUUGAGAUCUUGGAUCUUCAAGGCAAGGCAUGACAUUGCUAACAGUAUCAUGAAUAGGGUGAAGAGCAGUGGGUGGCGGACAGGGGAUUCAUCCCAUCUCUCAGGGACAUCCUGUAUCUAAAGAAUCAAAUGAAGACCCUGGACAGGCAUCAUGAAAACAACUAAUUGAGUGUUGACUCGUUUGUGAAAACAACCCUUAAGAGUGAGACAUUGUACUAUCAGCCUCUCUGCAGAGCAACAGGUCAACCACUGAUACUCAUAUUUCAAAAUGCAGAGCAGAGGCACAAAAUGUUGCAGUGUGGGAAGAAUCUACUUUCCAUGGACGCUUCAUAUUUUGGCAGUAGUUGGCAGGGAUGAAAGUGGGCAUGGCUCCCCGGUGGCAACAUUCAUCAUCACUGAAGAGACCCAGAAAAACAUUGCCUUCUGCCUGAGAAAGAUCUGGACAGCUGCUCACGACUUUGAGACAAGGAGAAAGACUAAUGAAGAUGCUUCAGGAUCAUUGGAGGAACCACUUCCCUAUCCCUUUGGCCUACCUAAAAAUAACUGGUUCCCUUGUUCUCCUAUGUGGGCUGACCACUGGAGGAAGUUCUUCCACGAGAACAGCAACACCAACAAUCUCACCGAGAGAUUUUUCCUGCACUUUAAAUAUCAAUUUCUG